rnacentral:rRNA from 1 species
GAUGAACGCUGGCGGCGUGCCUAAUACAUGCAAGUCGAGCGAACGGACGAGAAGCUUGCUUCUCUGAUGUUAGCGGCGGACGGGUGAGUAAAACGUGGAUAACCUACCUAUAAGACUGGGAUAACUUCGGGAAACCGGAGCUAAUACCGGAUAAUAUUUUGAACCGCAUGGUUCAAAAGUGAACGACGGUUUUGAUGUCCCUUAUAGAUGGAUCCGCGCUGCAUUAGCUAGUUGGUAAGGUAACGGCUUACCAAGGCAACGAUGCAUAGCCGACCUGAGAGGGUGAUCGGCCACACUGGAACUGAGACACGGUCCAAACUCCUACGGGAGGCAGCAGUAGGGAAUCUUCCGCAAUGGGCGAAAGCCUGACGGAGCAACGCCGCGUGAGUGAUGAAGGUCUUCGGAUCGUAAAACUCUGUUAUUAGGGAAGAACAUAUGUGUAAGUAACUAUGCACAUCUUGACGGUGCCUAAUCAGAAAGCCACGGCUAACUACGUG